GAGGAAGGUCGAGAAAGCUUACGUGAAAGAAGGAGCUGAAUGAUGCAGUGGAAUCAGAUCGAAAAGAUGAAGCUGGUCUCUUUGAUUUUGCGAGUAAACGAUUAACCAACGGAGAGAGAUUGAAAAAUUAGGGUUCAAUUGAAGAUGGUAUAUUGGUGCAUGUGCUGUAGUAGUUUCUGUCUCAGUUCUUGUAAUGGUAAUGCUGCUACCUACCUAUCUAUUUAUGCAUUGAUGGUCCCUCUCAACUAAGAAAAAAGGAAACUUCAUGGAAGCAUUCCCAAAUGAAUGAAAUUAGGUUGCAAGGAAUCAUGCUUAAAAGUAUCAUUGGACAAGCUCUUCAUAGCAAAAGUUGGGGAUGGAGGACUAGAGUCAUUUUCAAUUUCAUGACAUGUGAAACUGGGCACUGCAGUGACAUGAUAGAGUUGAAAGGGCAUUAUAAAGAUCAUAGUCGAUCAUAAAGUAAAAGCAGCAUCCCAUCAUAACAGGUUGACAUGACACAAGAAAAACCUUAGGAGAGGACAUGAUCACUUACCGGCAGCUUCAAAACAAAGAAGGAUCUCUCUUUUCUUGUUGCUGAGUGCUAUCUCUGGAGAUGUAUGCCCCAAGCAAAAUAUCCUCCUUCCCUUUUCCUCCUCCUAUCUGAUGCUUCCUCUAAAUGUUAUAUUGAAGAGGCUGGAGCAGGACUAUUAUGAGAUUGUGGUCUCUUAGGUAGUAAGUAGCUGAAUAGGGUGGGGUGUUUUCAAUUUUCAUAUUAUCUAUGAGGACUUGAUCACUUACUUGACAUAUUUGCUAGCUCUGUGAGCUGUUUACACAUAAUGUGGCUCUUUUCUCUUUUUCUGUUUUUGGAAAUUGAUUGUAAUUUGUGAGCAUGUAAUGCAAAAUGGUAAGAUGAGCAUGUGAACUGCAUUAAAAUUGUAUGCUUAGUGAUUAUAAUGCUGAUAUUUUCUGGCACUGCAGUGGUUUGAUAGAGACCUGCACUGGUGUUUGGAAAUGAAAGAAAAUGGCCAAUUCAAACUCAUUUACUCAACCAA